ensembl:snRNA U5 U5 spliceosomal RNA
AUACUCUAGCUUCUCUUCAGAUCAUAUAUGUCUUUUGCCUUUUACUAAAGAUAUCCGUGGAAAAGAACAGUUAAGAGGAGUUUUUUUAGGGACUUAAAAAAAAAAAGUCAU